GGAUAUUGGUGUAGGCGACAAACGUCGCGCACUCGAGGGCCAACAGUGCCUUGGACGGGGGUUCGAUUCCCCCCACCUCCA
rnacentral:tRNA from 1 species